UACAGAGGUCCCAAGCGUUUUUCGGAUUCAUUGGGCGUAAAGGGUGCGUAGGCGGCGCGGUUAGUCGGGUGUGAAAUCUCGGAGCUUAACUCCGAAACUGCAUUCGAUACUGCCGUGCUUGAGGACUGGAGAGGAGACUGGAAUUUACGGUGUAGCGGUGAAAUGCGUAGAUAUCGUAAGGAAGACCAGUGGCGAAGGCGGGUCUCUGGACAGUUCCUGACGCUGAGGCACGAAGGUCAGGGGAGCAAACGGG
rnacentral:rRNA from 1 species